rnacentral:rRNA from 1 species
UACGUAGGGUGCGAGCGUUGCCCCGGAUUUAUUGGGCGUAAAGGGCGCGUAGGCGGCUUGGCAAGUGGAUGGUGAAAUCCCUCGGCUUAACCGAGGAACUGCCGUCCAAACUGCUUUGCUUGAGGCCGGGAGAGGUGAGUGGAAUUCCCAGUGUAGCGGUGAAAUGCGUAGAUAUUGGGAGGAACACCAGUGGCGAAGGCGGCUCACUGGACCGGUACUGACGCUGAUGCGCGAAAGCGGUGGGGAGCAAACAGG